GCCCCUGGGGAGCCCAGCUCGCAGGUCUGGGCUGAGCGAGCGCUCCGCCACCCGCGCGAGGCUGAAGUCCCAUCUGACCGCCUGUGUUUAUCCCUUUAUUUUCCAGCAAGCAGGAAAGCAGCUCCAUCAGCUCCGGCAUCAUCUCUCCACCCUGAGCAGAGCGAGCUGUGCUCCGGCUGGGAGGGGAGGACGCUGAGCCAAGCGGUGGCUCUCUGCCGAGCAUCCCCUUCCCACGCUGCGGGGGGCCCGGCAGCCCCUGCCCCACCAUGCUGGAUAUUUUCAUCUUGAUGUUUUUUGCCAUCAUCGGCCUGGUGAUCCUCUCCUACAUCAUUUACAUGCUCUAGAGCGAUGCUGGGGAAGAUGCAGCUCAGCAUCAGCCUCGCAAGCAAAACAGCGUCCAGCCACCGCCUUGUCCGUCUCCCUCGGAGCCUUCUGGAAAAGCGUUAACCCUCUGCGAGCAAACGGGGAGCGAGCCGCCGUGGCUGGGCUGGCACCGGGGCGCUGCGGAGGGGGCCAAGCGGGGCGGCCACGUGGGGCAAAGGGGACAAUGGGGUGGCAGGGGAGAGGGCUGCCAGGUGACACCCCGCUGCCGAGACAUGGGUUGAUCCCGGUGACGCACGCCUCAUCCCAGGGGGAUACAAAGGGUUCUGCCCCCCGCCGUGUGGCGUAGCCCCUUGGGAUGAGCGCUUCCGAGGUCGGUCGGUCGAGUUUUAUUUUAGAAAAGCAGUUAUAUUUUUAAUGAAAACCGUUCAAGGAAAUGAAAUAAAGAGGAAUGAUGCGGGAGA